CAAGAUGGCAUCAUGAGUCCACAUGUUCACAUGAUUAAAGGUAUUCCGGUAGACGAUGGGGAUGCGUUCCAUUAGAUAGUAGGCGGGGUAACGGCCCACCUAGUCUUCGAUGGAUAGGGGUUCUGAGAGGAAGGUCCCCCACAUUGGAACUGAGACACGGUCCAAACUCCUACGGGAGGCAGCAGUGAGGAAUAUUGGUCAAUGGGCGAGAGCCUGAACCAGCCAAGUAGCGUGAAGGAUGACUGCCCUAUGGGUUGUAAACUUCUUUUAUAAAGGAAUAAAGUCGGGUAUGCAUACCCGUUUGCAUGUACUUUAUGAAUAAGGAUCGGCUAACUCCGUGCCAGCAGCCGCGGUAAUACGGAGGAUCCGAGCGUUAUCCGGAUUUAUUGGGUUUAAAGGGAGCGUAGAUGGAUGUUUAAGUCAGUUGUGAAAGUUUGCGGCUCAACCGUAAAAUUGCAGUUGAUACUGGAUAUCUUGAGUGCAGUUGAGGCAGGCGGAAUUCGUGGUGUAGCGGUGAAAUGCUUAGAUAUCACGAAGAACUCCGAUUGCGAAGGCAGCCUGCUAAGCUGCAACUGACAUUGAGGCUCGAAAGUGUGGGUAUCAAACAGGAUUAGAUACCCUGGUAGUCCACACGGU
rnacentral:rRNA from 1 species